CUCUGGUCGCAGAGGAUGGAAGGAAUCAGUUAGAGGGGGUUGAAUGGAGGCACUGGAGGCAUGGCCACAUGGCGGAUGGUCUGGGCCCAAGACAUGGAAUGUGGGAAUGUGGGACAGCAGGCAGCGGCCAGCUUUGGGCUUGGGCCUUUAAUGUAAGGAUUGGGGAUACCCAAGGGACCUCACAGGUCCUCCAAUCCCCCCAUUGUCCAAGAGCGAGAACAGGCGUGGGAGAAGCUAGCUUAAGGUCCCCAGUAAGGAUUUAGCGGUCUGUUCUCCAUAGACAGUCAUCCCCUCGCCUCCACUCUCCUACCCUGUCUGUCCCAAACAGAGAAAGGGGCAAAGAGAGAUGCUAACUCCACCAUUAUCUCACCGAGGCUCCCCAGGGAACCUGGAGGACCAACCCAUUUCAUAGAUGGGGACAACCGAGACAUCCCGUCAGACUACACCUUUGCCACGCCUCUCCCACCUCCCCGUGGAGGGGAUCGGUGCACCGCAUUCCUCUGGGAGUAAUACUGAUAUCUUGAAAUCCUCGGCACUGGGGGCAGGUGAGAGGACCCACCUUGGGAUUCUCCCAAAUGUAACCGGAAUGUGGGCCAUGCCUCCAGGGGCCUGAGAUGUCAACACAAAGAAAAAAAAUGACUCCCCACGUCCCCUGGCUCAAACCCAGUACAAAAGUGACUAUUUACAAUGAAGGGGUGGGGAGUGUGGGGGGAGGGCACAGAUAAGACUGGGGCCGGAGUCAGCGCUCCGCGUGCAGGAGGCCACGCCCCUGGCCCCGCCUUUGAAAGGGACAAAGCCAAACAGCAGAGAUAUUUAUAAAGGGUCACUCUCCCCAGGGCGGGGAGGACCCUAAGGUGAGGGAUGGGGUAGGCCAUGGGAUGGGGUGCGGGUGGGGAGGCAUGGGCGGUGGGAGGAGAUGGAGGAAAGGUAGCUGCUGCCCCUCGCCUCCCCCCUCCCCCUCGCCGGACACACAGUUUUCCGUGGGAUGAACACAGAAAGGGUUAAUCAAAAAGAGUUCGAUGAGCGAGUCUGACGGUCGAGUGGGGCGGGCUGGAGCAAUGAGGCCGCAGGUCCCGGUGGCCGGUGGUGAUGGAGUCACUUAGAAUAUGAGAGGUUGGUGGUUUUGGGGGGGUGGGGUAGGGAGGAGGAAAGGUGUGCGGGAGGGGGAUUAGGCGGUCCCCCCACUUAUCUCUGAGAGACAAGAAUGUCCUGGACUGGCUGAGAAGGGGUUAAAAAACAGCAAACCCCCCCCCCCCAGAGAUGUACCCCAUCUCCCUCCCUGCCACCCAGCAAUCCCCAACGCGACUGGCAGGGGCCACUGAGACGGACCUGACACACACCAGCCGCGGCGCCACCGAGAGAAACCCCUCCACCACGGCGUCCAGACAGCUGACUGCAGUGUAGAGGGAUCAGAUAGCAGGGCUGGGUGUCGCGACUCCACGAGAGCCGUAAACUUGGGUCCCCGGCCCUCGGUGCCCCAACUUGGGCAUCGCGAUCCCGUCCUCCCCAUCGUGACAUCCGGUUCAGGCUUUCGCGAUAGCCGGCCUCGGAGUUUCAAAGUCGGCGCGGGGCAGGGGCGUGGCCAACAGCGAAGGCCUGCCGGGCUGUCGCGAGAGGUGGGCACCCAAUCAGCAGCCUGGACGCCCCCAAUAGCCAGCCUCGUCGCCGCUCUUAGUUAAUACUUUUUCCCCACGGCUCCGCGUAUCACGACCUCGAGUCCCGGUCUUGCCACAGCGACCAUCAAUGCGGGGGAAUCCCCUCACUUUCCAAACGGAAGACCCCCGGGCCACGACCCACCAAAGAGGGGUGCGAGUGGAGAAGGAGUGUCAGCGACUGGCCAUGGCCCAGUACAGGAAGUGCAUGCUCCAUCCCAGUGACGUCACGGGAAAUACCCUGGAGAUCCCACAGGAAGUACUUGCCCCCAUGAUAUCCCUGAAGUAGCCUUCAAGGACGGCUCACUGAGACAUCAUAGGAAGUACCUGUCUCUUCUGUCAUCACAGGAAGUGACCUCUGGGGAGCUGCUUCCCGUGACAUCAUAAGGAGUGCCAGAAGCACCCCAGAAAGUACUUGACUCAGUGACAUCCCAACAGAGACCUUCAUUCCCAUCACUCUAAGUAAAACCACCGAAGAUGCCACCGGAAGUUGUUCCAGCCCGUCGCAAGAGUCAUGCCCACAGGACUGGACCAAUCCCAGAGCCGGCCUCAUUCCCAGCAGGCACUGCACACCGUUCCCCCACCAUAACAACCUGACAACAGAACAGUGAACAGUCCCACCUAGAAGGGGCAAUUCCAAGAGGGGUAGAGCCGCUGAGAAGAUCUGGGAACUCUGGGGUCCCUGCUCCGAAUACCCCAUUUCAGCUCAGAUUCCUCGGCUACCUCUACUCCCAUCCCUUCCUUCAGAUCUGGAACCGAAAGCAGGAGAGGUGGGGUGUUGUUUUGGGGAGGCCCCUCAUUCUAGGUGGCCCAGAGGCUCCCUCCCCUCCUCCCAUAUGGAAACAAAAACUUCUAAAGGUGAGGGGGGGGGGGC